GCGGGUGUGGUGUAAAUGGCUGGCACGGGAGCCUUCCAAGCUCCAGGAGACCGGUUCGAUCCCGGCCACCCGCU
rnacentral:tRNA from 1 species